rnacentral:rRNA from 1 species
UACGAAGGGGGCUAGCGUUGUUCGGAAUUACUGGGCGUAAAGCGCACGUAGGCGGACAUUUAAGUCAGGGGUGAAAUCCCGGGGCUCAACCCCGGAACUGCCUUUGAUACUGGGUGUCUAGAGUGUGGAAGAGGUGAGUGGAAUUCCGAGUGUAGAGGUGAAAUUCGUAGAUAUUCGGAGGAACACCAGUGGCGAAGGCGGCUCACUGGUCCACUACUGACGCUGAGGUGCGAAAGCGUGGGGAGCGAACAGG